rfam:Bovine leukemia virus genomic DNA, complete sequence.
GGGGGGACCUAGCGCCCCCCAAAUCAU